rnacentral:lncRNA from 1 species
UUUCAAUGUUUGUUGCAUCUACAUAGAAAUACAAUUGGUAUUUAAAAUCAAAGAUCUUGUUAAGCUUAGUAGCUUUUUUUGCAGGGUCUUUAGAAUUUUCUGUGUAUAUACUUACAUUGUCUGAACAAAGACCAUUUUACUUUUUUAAAAAAGAGAUUUCCCAGGGCCCAAUAUAGAGAGACAAGAUGAUGAGAAAUAUGAGUGGUUAAGAUACAAGACAUACAAAGGAUGUCUAAUCCAAGUUCCAGAAGGAGAAAAGGGAGAAUGCAAUAUUGAAAAGAUAUUGAUGAAAGAUACCUGUCUAUAAAUUUUAGAAUCCCAAAUUCCAGUUUAUCUAAAUCCCAAGUUUGGCCAAAAAGAAAUCACAGCAGAUGCCAAACACGGAGGAGGCAGAUGACCUUCAAAGGAGAAACAAGCUUGUGGGUGACUUCCCAGCCACAAGGAGGCCAGACGGGGCGGAACACCUUCCAUGUACAUCAAAAACUUUGUCAACCUAGAAUCCUGUACCCUGCAACAAAUGUCCUUCAGGAAAAGAGAUAAAAUAAAGACUCCAACAACAAGUGAGAGAGUUGGACAUCAAAAGACCUUUAUCAGACAAAUAUUUAAAAGAUUGUUUCAGGCACAAGGAAACUGAUCCCAGAAGGAAGCUUGCUAUUUAGAAAUAAAGGAAAGAAACAUAAACAAGCUGACUGAUCUAAACAGACAUGGGUUGUAUAAAACAUUAACAAUUUAAGUGAGAGAUCUGUUGUACCACAUUACACUUCACGACGCAUUGUAUUCUUGCAAUCACUAAGAAAGUAGAUUUUAAGUGUUCUCAAAUGACACCAAAGCCUGUUAAGCCUGUGAGGGAAUAGAUAUGUUAAUUAGCUCGAUUUAGCC